rnacentral:rRNA from 1 species
UACGGAGGGUGCGAACGUUAAUCGGAAUCACUGGGCGUAAAGCGCGCGUAGGCGGUCGGUUAAGUGGGAUGUGAAAGCCCCGGGCUUAACCUGGGAAUUGCAUUCCAAACUGGCCGACUAGAGUACGGUAGAGGGAGGUAGAAUUUCCUGUGUAGCGGUGAAAUGCGUAGAUAUAGGAAGGAAUACCAGUGGCGAAGGCGGCCUCCUGGAUCGAUACUGACGCUGAGGCGCGAAAGCGUGGGGAGCAAAC